GCUUCUUUUACUUCAAUUUGUUCAUCAAAACCGUUGUUAAAAUGCAUACAGAAGUUUAGAAAUCUUGAGACAAGAAUCUCAAUAAAUUAUGGCUUUUCUUAGCAAACAAUUCGUGGUGUGUAAACUCGUAAAACAUGCUUUAAGAACAAUUUAACAAGUAUAACAAUUCAGGAAGCCAUUUGAAUAAAAGUCCCAACAAUGACACGUAAUUAACUCGUUUACUUACAUAGUUAAGAGUGGAAUAAAAUUAAGAAUGAUUGACUUAAGCGGAUUGUAUACAGUAAGAAACGUCUUAUAUCAUAUGCAGUUUCUUAUCUCAGUUCACCGUCAGCGCGGACGCAGCCACCGUGGAGCUCAAGAACAAAACAUUCCGCUACUUCGUCAUUAUUCAAAUUUUCGCUGUACCAGUUGCCCGCUUGUUCCGGCCUCUGCUUUUUGUCCUAUUUCAAACAGUCUGAAAUUACGAUUAGUUCGGUCGAAAUGAGAGGCGGUCAUCCGUGGUGGAUGGUCGUGUGAACGGCCCGUUAUACAAACAACUUGAACGCUUUGCCGAUGUUUCGAAGGCACGUCUGAAGGUUUUGGCCGGAAGAAGGUCGUUUAAUUUCGAUGUCAUCAAAGAUAAUAAGAAUACACCGCGAUUUAAAUAACGAACGGAACGACUAUGACAUUUUAGGAAAAUUAUUGACUACAACACUUUCAAAUGCUAAAUGCAUUAGAGCGAUUCCCUGGUGCUAGCAAUGGCCGUACGUAUGUGGAGCACGCGGGAUCUAAUGUUACACUAUGGCACACGACGGAUCCGCCCUGAAGCUGACCGGCUGUCUCCACAAUUAUUCAUUAUUAGAGUAAUGACCGUGACCAUCGACUUUGCAUUUCUACAAUUGAAUAACAUUUCCCUAGAAUUCUAUUACACGUAAAAUUAAAUUUAAAUGUUUUACCUCAUUGAAAUGGGUAUCGUACCUUAUCGUUUUGGGAAAAUUAAAAUGACAGUUGUUUUUCUUCGAAAUGUCAUUUAUGAAGCAACAGGGAAAAUGUAAUACACAAAAUUAUUUUAAGCCACGAGGUUUGGAUCAAUGGAAGAAUAGUGGUUUAAUUUAAUCUAGUUAAAGUAGCCCGUUAUUAUAAUAAUAAAAAAUUCCAUCAAUUUCAAUCUUCUUGUUUUCACAAUGAUUUUUGAAUCCAAAAUAAUCUUUUAUUAAUAAGCGUUCCACAUUUAACGAUCGAUCGUCGAUGAGUUGAAAUUCUCUGCUGUGACACACGAAAACAAACACUUUCAGACCCCGCAUAAGAUUACUAGACGUAUCCCGACUACCACCCGGAAUCGAACCCGGAUGCUGUAUAGUGCUUAAGGUCACUAGCUAUUAGACUAACAAGGCGAUCGUAAUAUUAGAAAUGUACAAGUUUGUUACUGAAGCAAGUAAAAAUGGUCUAAUACAUUUGGAUAAAAUUUCGCAAAUAUGAUAGUUUUAACCUGGAUUGGCAGUUAGGAUUUUUUUUUAUUGCUUAGAUGGGUGGACGAGCUCACAUCCCACCUGGUGUUAAGUGGUUACUGGAGCCCAUAGACAUCCGGAACGUAAAUGCGCCACCCAUCUUGAAAUAUAAGUUCUAAGGUCUCUCGAGUGAGAUAUAAGUUACAACGGCUGCCCCACCCUUCAAACCGAAACGUAUUACUGCUUCACGGCAGAAAUAGGCAGGGUGGUGCUACCCACCCGCGCGGACUCACAAGAGGUCCUACCGCCAGUAAUAAAUAGCCUUUAUCUCGUACAUACAUGACAUGUUAGUGACAUGACCCUGACAAUGCCAAGUUUUUUUGUUAUAAUAAAUACGACAUUGUGUAAGCUGGUUCGUUCGAUGAUCUUCGUCUGCUAGUUUAUUAAACAGAGAAUGACGAAUGACAUAAGCAACUCCUUAUCUCGGGAAAAUGCAACGUGAUUAAUUAUUUUCGAAUUGCAAAUUAACGACGGGGUAUGUCGAGUAAAUACAUAAAAUUAAAAUAAGUUAAACAUUAUCUUUGACUGUAAUUAUCCGUUGCUACGCCACAAAGCACUUAUUGUGGUCUCGGCAGGACAGUCGUUGUUCAAUUUCUGAAAGUCAAAGUGUCAGCGAACAACGCCCGCCAUGACACCAACUCUCUUUUAAAUCCAGCCGCCAAGAGCAACACAUCAAUUUUAUAUUUCUCUUAUAUUCAGUCUUUAAAUUUUCACAUAAGGGUAAAAUAAAUAUCUCAAAACAAUAAAUACAUUCCACGCUCAAUUUCCACAACGCAACAGUUGUCAUACAAAACAGUUGAUGCUGCGACCUCACGACUGAAGGUGGGUGACGCUCUGAUGUCUACGGGUUCCGGUGACUACUUAACACCAAAUAGUUCUUUAGAUUACCAUCGAUCCGCUGAAAUGGUAAUUCAAUAAAAUACUACAUUGUUAUUCGCGGCAGAAUUGUCUCUAUGCCGUCUCUAGAGACUCUGGGUGAAUCUAGAUUCCGGUUAUUACUUGACACUAAGCAGACCCUAGUCCGGGUAUAUAAACCUAUUAAGAAAAUAUAUAACAAUAAAUAUACAGUGCAUCUGUUUUAUAACGAAACAUCAUAAGUUUUGUUUUUCUUUUAAUAUCAGUAGAAUGUACUUGUUUUAAACAUGACUAGAGUAGAUACUUCUUGGAAGAAUAUCUGAUGGGUCGACCGACCUUGAUCACGUCUAGCUAUCGAGAAUUCACGAUUGUAAUCGAUGUCCAUCAAUGCACACAAUGGUAUAUUCGCUAAAACUGCCGAUGGUUAUCCAAAAUUGCAGUGAAAGUUCGAAUUACUAGUAACCUGAAGUUUUGAUUCGGAGAUUGAUCGAGGUGAUUGAUGUGAUUCGUUAAGUUUUCUUUUUUAUGUUUAAAUCAUUGUAAUGUUUUAGCGAAAGUCAAGGACACCGUGUUUUACACAUUGGAGAACUAGCGGUAGGUAUGUUUAAUUACUUUCAAUGAAUGCGUGCGUGUAUAAAAAUUGAUCUCAGCUAGUUAAUACUAAUUUCGGACGAUCAUUUUUCUAGAAAAUUUAAGAACCGUGGAUGAAAUUUCUCUAACAAAUAUUACACAUAUGUAUCUACCAUUAAAGUUAUGAUAAAAUUUAGUCCGGUGAUUGCUGCGUAAUGUUGUGUACUAAAUGAGGCUAAGAAAACUGUAUGUACCAACAGCAAAAAUAAGAUAUAAAUGAACAGUUGAUUCAUGACAGUCUUCUAUUUAUUUCCAACGUCGUAUUUUUUUUAUAACAAUAGAAAUAAUUGGGGCAUCAUUACAAACAUCUAACUGUUCUAACACUUUUAGAGUGAUCUACUGAAUACCAGAAAUAAUAAGACGGGGUCACAAUUACACGCUAAUAAGUACUGUAAAAUUUCAUUGUAAUUACAAUAUCGGUACAAGCUGUUUAAAACGGCUCUGUCUUAAAUAGGUUUAUGUGCUAGAAAAGGUUUGUAGUUUAUAUAAUUGAAAUAGCAUUUUUUUAUUCGAUAUCAUAGAGGCUGUAGAACACUAAUAAUUUUUUAUUUGCUAUUUUAUUUAUAUUACUUAAUAAAAAAAAUCUAACACUUGA